rnacentral:misc_RNA from 1 species
AACGCACGAGACCUGCGGACCUGCGGAGGGAUCAUUACUGAGUUAGGGUUCCCUUCUUCGGGGCCCGACCUCCCAACCCUGUGUCUAUCAUACCUUGUCGUUGCUUCGGCGGACCGGUUGACCAACUGGUCUCGACCGCCGGGGUGGCCCAGCCGCCCUGGAGAGUGUCCGCCGACGGCCUACCACAAAACUCUUGUACCUAAACCUGUCGUCUGAAUUUUGAUAAAUAUAAACCAAAAC